GACGGGGGGGGCAAGUGUUCUUCGGAAUGACUGGGCGUAAAGGGCGCGUAGGCGGCUCAUGAAGGCCGUGGUGAAAGUCCGGGGCUCAACCUCGGAUCGGCCGUGGCGACUCGUGGGCUGGAGCACUGUAGAGGCGGGUGGAAUUCCGGGUGUAGCGGUGGAAUGCGUAGAGAUCCGGAAGAACACCAGUGGCGAAGGCGGCCCGCUGGGCAGUGGCUGACGCUGAGGCGCGACAGCGUGGGGAGCAAACAGG
rnacentral:rRNA from 1 species